rnacentral:piRNA from 1 species
CNGAAUAAGCAGUGAGCUCUUCAGGGCC